rnacentral:rRNA from 1 species
UAAGCGGAGGAAAAGAAACCAACAGGGAUUGCCUCAGUAGCGGCGAGUGAAGCGGCAAGAGCUCAGAUUUGAAAUCUCACCUAGUGUGCGAGUUGUAAAUUGCAGGUUGGAGUCUCGGGUUAGACGUGUGUGCAAGUCCCUUGGAACAGGGCGCCACUGAGGGUGAGAGCCCCGUAGCGUGCAUGUCGACACCUGUGAGGCCCUUCUGACGAGUCGAGUUGUUUGGGAAUGCAGCUCUAAGUGGGUGGUAAAUUCCAUCUAAGGCUAAAUAUUGGCGAGAGACCGAUAGCGAACAAGUACUGUGAAGGAAAGAUGAAAAGCACUUUGAAAAGAGAGUGAAACAGCACGUGAAAUUGUUGAAAGGGAAGGGUAUUGGGCUCGACAUGGGAUUUACGCAUCGUUGCCUCUCGUGGGCGGCGCUCUGGGUUUUUCCUGGGCCAGCAUCGGUUUURGUUGCAGGAUAAGGACAAUUGGAAUGUGGCUCCUCGGAGUGUUAUAGCCUUUUGUAGAUGCUGCGUAUGGGGACCGAGGGCUGCGGCGGACUCGUU